GUAUAAGAGACAGCAGCCGCCGCGGUAAUACAGAGGGUGCGAGCGUUAAUCGGAUUUACUGGGCGUAAAGCGUGCGUAGGCGGCUUCUUAAGUCGGAUGUGAAAUCCCUGAGCUUAACUUAGGAAUUGCAUUCGAUACUGGGAAGCUAGAGUAUGGGAGAGGAUGGUAGAAUUCCAGGUGUAGCGGUGAAAUGCGUAGAGAUCUGGAGGAAUACCGAUGGCGAAGGCAGCCAUCUGGCCUAAUACUGACGCUGAGGUACGAAAGCAUGGGGAGCAAACAGGAUUAGAUACCCCAGUAGUCCCUGUCUCUUAUAC
rnacentral:rRNA from 1 species